GACGAACCGUGCGAACGUUGUUCGGAAUCACUGGGCCUAAAGGGCGCGUAGGCGGCUUCUCAAGUCAGGGGUGAAAUCCGGCAGCUCAACUGUCGAAGUGCCUUUGAUACUGAUGAGCUCGAGGGAGGUAGGGGUAUGCGGAACUUCCGGUGGAGCGGUGAAAUGCGUUGAUAUCGGAAGGAACGCCGGUGGCGAAAGCGGCGUACUGGACCUCUUCUGACGCUGAGGCGCGAAAGCUAGGGGAGCAAACGGG
rnacentral:rRNA from 1 species